CACUAUUUCUUUUUUCCAUGAGAUUUGCUGACUGUUCUUUUUAUGUUUGUUAUUCUUAUAACUAGUUUGAACUUAACCCAAUUUCCACCAGGUAUAUGUUGCUAUAGGCAGUUGUACCUGCUAUGUUAAGAUGGUGAUGGAUGACUAUGGAUUGUCGGAAGGAGAGGCUGUGAGCUCUAAUUCUAACCUUUCUUUGUUGGAAAUUGUUACUAAAACUCAUGAGAUGCCAAAUGGUUAUCAAAAGGUUUUGAAGGAUGACAUGUUUUUGUAGCUUUGAAUUGAUGAUUCUUGAUAAGAAAAUCUUAAGAAUUAUUUGAUACCGCGAGCUAUGCUCUCUUCUAGGGUGGAUGGGGACUCACAUAAAUGAAUUGGUGCUGGAAAUCGAGGUAAAACAGAUGAGCUUAUAAGGAAGAAGAAGAGUAGAGAAGUCAUACCAGCUCUUCCAUUAUACCAUGGCAAGAAGAAGUUUUUAGGCACAAUGCCAAGCAAUUUGUCCUUUAGUGCUUGUUUGUGUUAAUAAUCAAUGAUGACAGGAGAUGUGUGCAACUAGUUAAUGUUCUUUUCCA